GAUGAACGCUGGCGGCGUGCCUAACACAUGCAAGUCGAACGGAGACGCGUGGGAAUUCUCUUCGUGGAGGGAAGGGCCGACGUAGUGGCGACCGGGGGAGAAACGCGUUAGCAGUCUGCCUUUAAGAGGGGGAUAACAGUCGGAAACGGCAGCUAAUACCGCACAAAGCAGUAAAUUCGCAUGUUUGUGAUGUCAAAUGAGCAAUCGGCUGUUACAUGAGCUCGUGGCGGAUUAGCAAGUUGGCGGGGUAACGGGCGACCGAGGCGACGAUGAGUAGCCGCCCUGAGGGCGUGCACUGCCACACCGGGACUGAGAAACGGCCCCGACGCCUACGGGAGGCAGCCGUGGGGAAUCUGGCAGAAUGGGCGGAAGCCUGAUGCAGCAAGGCCGCGUGCGUGAUGAAGGACUUCGGCUCGUAAAACUCUGUUAUUCGGGAAGAAAAAAUUUGUAAGAAGCUAUGCACGUCAUGACGGUACCUGAAGAAUAAGCCCCGGCUAACUACGUG
rnacentral:rRNA from 1 species